GGGUGAGUAAUGCUUGGGAACAUGCCUUGAGGUGGGGGACAACAGUUGGAAACGACUGCUAAUACCGCAUAAUGUCUACGGACCAAAGGGGGCUUCGGCUCUCGCCUUUAGAUUGGCCCAAGUGGGAUUAGCUAGUUGGUGAGGUAAUGGCUCACCAAGGCGACGAUCCCUAGCUGGUUUGAGAGGAUGAUCAGCCACACUGGGACUGAGACACGGCCCAGACUCCUACGGGAGGCAGCAGUGGGGAAUAUUGCACAAUGGGCGCAAGCCUGAUGCAGCCAUGCCGCGUGUGUGAAGAAGGCCUUCGGGUUGUAAAGCACUUUCAGUCAGGAGGAAAGCGUGGUGGUUAAUACCCAUCAUGUGUGACGUUACUGACAGAAGAAGCACCGGCUAACUCCGUGCCAGCAGCCGCGGUAAUACGGAGGGUGCGAGCGUUAAUCGGAAUUACUGGGCGUAAAGCGUACGCAGGCGGUUUGUUAAGCGAGAUGUGAAAGCCCCGGGCUCAACCUGGGAACUGCAUUUCGAACUGGCAAACUAGAGUGUGAUAGAGGGUGGUAGAAUUUCAGGUGUAGCGGUGAAAUGCGUAGAGAUCUGAAGGAAUACCGAUGGCGAAGGCAGCCACCUGGGUCAACACUGACGCUCAUGUACGAAAGCGUGGGGAGCAAACGGGAUUAGAUACCCCGGUAGUCCACGCCGUAAACGAUGUCUACUAGAAGCUCGGAGCCUCGGUUCUGUUUUUCAAAGCUAACGCAUUAAGUAGACCGCCUGGGGAGUACGGCCGCAAGGUUAAAACUCAAAUGAAUUGACGGGGGCCCGCACAAGCGGUGGAGCAUGUGGUUUAAUUCGAUGCAACGCGAAGAACCUUACCUACACUUGACAUACAGAGAACUUACCAGAGAUGGUUUGGUGCCUUCGGGAACUCUGAUACAGGUGCUGCAUGGCUGUCGUCAGCUCGUGUUGUGAGAUGUUGGGUUAAGUCCCGC
rnacentral:rRNA from 1 species